rnacentral:rRNA from 1 species
AGCGAACGCUGGCGGCAGGCUUAACACAUGCAAGUCGAACGCAUUACUUCGGUGGUGAGUGGCAGACGGGUGAGUAACACGUGGGAACGUACCCUUCGAUCUGGGAUAACUUCGGGAAACUGGAGCUAAUACCGGAUACGCCCUUUUGGGGAAAGGUUUACUGUCGAAGGAUCGGCCCGCGUCUGAUUAGCUAGUUGGUGGGGUAACGGCCUACCAAGGCGACGAUCAGUAGCUGGUCUGAGAGGAUGAUCAGCCACACUGGGACUGAGACACGGCCCAGACUCCUACGGGAGGCAGCAGUGGGGAAUAUUGGACAAUGGGCGCAAGCCUGAUCCAGCCAUGCCGCGUGAGUGAUGAAGGCCUUAGGGUUGUAAAGCUCUUUUGUCCGGGACGAUAAUGACGGUACCGGAAGAAUAAGCCCCGGCUAACUUCGUG